GGAACGGACUGUGUUCCUUUAGCUCGCACGGCUCCUCUCCUGGGUGUGAAUUUCAGACGUGCCGUGGACACCCCAUCCCCGGAGUCAGGGAUCAGAAUUCUCUGAUCUACGGGAUGCUUCCAGCAGUCUGAGGGGCGCAGAGCUGGCAGUGUUGCGUUCGUGAGGAGCCGGGCCAGCACCGGCCCAGAGCGGCGAUGGUCCUGCCAGUUCCCAGGGAAUGAGAAGGAGUGAGGGCACGUGCCUGGUGUGGGUGGCCCUUCAGGAGGCAGCCCGCUCUGCAGGGUGCUCGUACCCUGCUGUCCUAGGCAUGUCCUGCCCUCAGAGUCUCAGGUUACUGGAUGAUAAAAUCUGU
rnacentral:lncRNA from 1 species